CCUCAGACGGAAAAGAAACGAGAUAGCAAGAAGGAGUUUUAUGGGGUGAUGAAACUGUUUUGUAUCCUGAUUGUGAUGGUAGUUACAUGAAUCU